UAUGUAUUUAAAUAUAAAUAUGUAUUCGAUAUACUACGCAUCGUAGUCACAACGUUCGGCAGAAACCGGUCCAUGCCUAAUUGCUCGAUAAGGACACGACGCAGUUCCUCCCAAGUGGAGUAGGCUGUGAGCGUAGGUAUACUCCGCCGAAUCCCCGUCAACGCCACUCCACCACUCCGCCAGGCUGUCCCGUGGUGGCACUCCGUUCCGAGACUACAACCCUAACCCGAAGCAGACUCAGUCGGUUUUACAUGUAAAACAAUUUGAUUAACUAACACAAUGUGAUAACGUUUUGUAAAUAUGCUUGUAGUAAACAUUUCUCUUAAC